GUCCUCCUUUAAUUAUGCUUUGAAUUUUGAAAACCAACAGUAAAAGGCGGUUUCAACAUCACUUACCUUGGCAGUGCUCCUGUUUCUCAAAUGAACAAUUGACAAAUAACUAACUCUCAGACUGGCAUCUUACAAUAAUCUACAGUAUAAAUCUACACAUACAGAGUACAACAAAAUUAAUGCAAUUAAAAUUAAUACCAAAAUUAAAAUCAAUCAGUGAUAUGCUUUUACCAUCUUCCUAAAUCAUUGAAGAGGGGAGCAAACGACCUGCUUAGGGAGUGUGUUCCAGAGCCUGGGAGCCACAAAGGAGAAGGGUUCCCUUUCCUGCAGACCUGAACAUCAGACCUCUGACGAUGGGGGCAUCUUCAAAAGCCUCUCCUGCUGACUGAAGUAACCUUUCCCCCAAUUGCUGAAAGUGGCAUACAGAAGGCUCCCUGAUGCAAUUUGAUAUUCCUAGCAACAAGCUUGUGAGACAGUGGCUACCCUGAAAUCACCCAAUGAGUUUCCAUGGCUGAAGACUGAUUUGAACCCAAGGCUCUCUGGUCUUCACCACUAUACCACAUGGAAAGUGGAAUGGAUGUUUUUUAAAAUAUUGACAAAAAUUGUACAGUUUAAAAACUGCAAGUUUGAAACUCUACAACUGUACAUUUUAAAAUAAAAAUAACUGCACUCUGGUGUUGUAUUUUGAAA